CGGGCGGCCGUGACCCUGCUGGAGUGCGGGGGGGACCUCCAGCCCCCCGGGGGGUCCCUGCGCCUCCUCUGCCGAGGGGCCGGGUUCAGUUUUGGCAGUUUUGCGAUGGAUUGGGUUCGCCAGAGACCCGGGCAGGGGCUGGAGUGGCUCGCAGGGAUCAACACUGGUGGAGGCAUCGGCUACGCGCCAUCGGUCAAGGGCCGGGUCACGAUCUCCAGGGACAACGGGCAGAGCUCGGUGACGCUGACCAUGAACAACCUCAAGGACGAGGAUUCCGGAUCCUAUUUCUGUGCCAAAACUGCUGUUGCUGGUUGGGGUGCUGGUGCUGCUGAUCGUUUUGGCCCCACCCUUAUCGCUGUGUCUCCCCAGUCCCCGUUCCCCAGCCCCUUC